rnacentral:rRNA from 1 species
UACAGAGGUCUCAAGCGUUGUUCGGAAUCACUGGGCGUAAAGGGUGCGUAGGCCGCACGGUAAGUCAGAGGUGAAAUCCCGGAGCUCAACUUCGGAAUUGCCUCCGAUACUGCCGUGCUUGAGGACUGAAGAGGAGAUUGGAAUUCACAGUGGAGCAGUGAAAUGCGUAGAUAUUGUGAGGAACACUAGUGGCGAAGGCGAAUCUCUGGACAGUUCCUGACGCUGAGGCACGAAGGCCAGGGGAGCAAACGGG